rnacentral:lncRNA from 1 species
GAGCCAUUUCCCAUGUCUCUCUGUUCUCCAAACCGCGAUGAAAUUUCAACCUGCCCAACACGAUUACUGGUCCACCUAGAAAUGCCGUGGAGCGAUUUAAGAGCCUCGGAAAUUUCCUUUAAGGUCAGGAGAGAAGCUGGUAACAGAUGGGGCGAAGGAGGAAAAGUUCUUUUUGCGGCACCCUCACGCCUUCCCAGCCCUUUCGCGGUUUACUCGCUCCCCGGAAAGCAGACUAGUCUCACUCUGUUGCCCAGGCUGGAGUGCAGUGGCGCGAUCUCAGCUUACUUCAGCCUCCGCCUCCCGGUUUCAAGUGAAUUCUCCAGCCUCAACUUCACAAGUAGCUGGGAUUACAGGGCAUUCAAGCAGCCCUGAGGAGAGGUCCACAUGGUGAGCCACUGAGGGCCUUGCCAAGAGCCAGCACCAACGGUCCAGGUUUGGAGUGUACCACCUUGGAAGUGAAUCUUCCAGUCCAGUCAAGCCUUCAGAUGACUUCAGAACCGUCCAUGUAAGCCACUCUUGGAUUCCUGACCCACAGAAACUGUUGGAGGCAUUAUCAACAGUUUCUAACAUCACAGACAGACAAACAUGUGCCUCCUGAUUGAAAAAACAGAACAUCACCUGUAGUCUUGCCAGUGAGAUCAAACUGAAGUCCAAUUAACCUCUGGAUCCAGCUGCCAAUUUGCAGGAAAUAGAGGAGAGAAGCAUCUGUUGAACUGCACCAUGAGUAUACACUCAGCAAAGGCCAAACUGUGGAAAAUGAUACAGGUCAAACAGCCUGGAUUCUUUAACAGUGAUGUUUCUGAAGCACCAAUGAAAAUGAAGUCCUGAAGUCCUGUGCUCAAUAUGAAAUGUUGGAAGUUAGAAGAAAAAAACAAAACUUGGAUCCAAUCUCAAGGCACUUUUUGUUUAAUGGGAAGAAGUGGAUUAUUUUAAAAGCUACAAAUAAAGUUACAUAAAAGUAGCAAA